rnacentral:rRNA from 1 species
GCUUACGGCCAUACCACCCUGAGAACGCCCGAUCUCGUCUGAUCUCGGAAGCUAAGCAGGUUCGGGCCUGGUUAGUACUUGGAUGGGAGACCGCCUGGGAAUACCAGGUGCUGUAAACU